ensembl:lncRNA
AUGAGUCCCUCUCUCUCUCUCCUUCCCACAGGCAGACUUGUAGACGCCACUCUAGCUUUUUUAGCGUUAAGAGUAGGAAGCAGUCACUACAAAGGCAUGUCUACAUUGCAGGCAGAGCUGGGAUUGCACCACAUGAAGACACACUUGGGUUACCUAUUCUGCCAGCGCCGGGACACCGCGUGCUUAGCAGUGCCCUCACCCUGCGCUAAGCUGCAGCCUCCCACAACUCCAUUGCCCUUCCCAGCUGGGUUCCCACAUGUGUAUUUCCACAGAUGCACAUCCAGCAGACCUCCCGCUGAAUUGUAUCCUCAGUCCCUUGGACCAUCUGGAGAGACACCUCACCCCUGCUCAAAUCCAUCCUGUGCGCUGGAUUCUGCAAGCUCUAUUGGAGACUUACUUACUCUGCCCUCCAAUUUACAGCUUUUCCCUAACAGGGCAGCCAAAUAUUUUGCUGUAAAUUAAAUCCUCACCUCCUUGUCUGUCUGUUGUGGACAUGGUGAACAGUUAGCUCUGUAUACAGGAAAGCUUCUGGCACAUUGUUCUCAUCUUCUCUUUCUAGACUAAACAGUACCAAUCCUCUUGACCUUUCUUCAUGCAUUGUGUUUUCCAUACUACUUAUUAUUCCUCUUGUCCUCUGAACUCUCUCCAGUUUGUUUCUAUAUAUCUAUAAUUUUAUAGUGUGGUGCCCAGAAGAGGACAAAGUACUCACUCCCCAGCACCAGCAGAGUAAAACAGAACAUAAGGCAAUCUUACUAGGAUGUUCUGCAGUGAGAUUCAUCUUUCCUCAGCCAUAUAAUGCAGCUUACUCCUACUUGGCAUAGGGGUUGUAUAGUCCUCAGGUUUCUUUAUUGUCCUGCAUAGCACCUAAAGUUCUCCCAUAUUGUAUUCAUGCAGUUGAUAUCUGUGGCAAACUACACUUGUUAUUUUUUCUGAAUUUGUGCCACUCGUAUCAGAUUGUUUCUCCAGGCUCUAACAGAGUCCCCUGAAGUGCUGGCACUUCCCAUCUGCUGGUGUAACUUGAAGAUUCACUGCUUCAUAUUUCAAGCCAUUCAUGAAAAUAAGUAUUAGAACUAGACUAACAAGCGACAUCUGUCCACAUAUAUACUAUGAUGAACUCAUCUACAGUGCAUUUUUCCAGUUUCUUUUUCAGAAAAGUGUUUAAGACUGUGUGGAAAACUUUCUUAAAAUCAAGAUCUAACAAGUCUACUCCUCAUCCUUAUCUCCUUGGCCAAUUAAUCUGUCAAAGAAAAAUGAGAUAGAUUUGUUUCUGAUAAAUCAAUACAACACUUUUUUAUCACUGUAAAAAUGUUCAAAGUGUCCACAAAGUGAUUAUACACUGUAGUAUUGUAGGAUUUAUUUGGUAACAGCAGUAUCUUUCUAGGCAUUUUUAAUUUAUUAGGCUCCCAUUUUUAUGGAUGGGAAUUAUAGUAUAUAUUCUCUCACCCAGUGUCUUCCAUAGUAUUCCAUAUUUUGUUUAAAAUAAUCAUUGCUGGUUCAGUGAUUGGUUUUGUAGUUGAUUAAAUAUUCCAAGGUGCAUAUGCCUGUCUGUUCUUGUUAAUAAAAUGUUUGUGUUCAGUGAUUAUCUGGUUUCA